UCCACCAAGCCACAUUUUUAACCUUUGACCUCGGAUCAGGUAGGGAUACCCGCUGAACUUAAGCAUAUCAAUAAGCGGAGGA
rnacentral:rRNA from 1 species